rnacentral:rRNA from 1 species
UACGAAGGGGGCUAGCGUUACUCGGAAUUACUGGGCGUAAAGCGUGCGCAGGCGGUAAUGCAAGACAGAUGUGAAAUCCCCGGGCUUAACCUGGGAACUGCAUUUGUGACUGCAUUGCUGGAGUGCGGCAGAGGGGGAUGGAAUUCCGCGUGUAGCAGUGAAAUGCGUAGAUAUGCGGAGGAACACCGAUGGCGAAGGCAAUCCCCUGGGCCUGCACUGACGCUCAUGCACGAAAGCGUGGGGAGCAAACAGG